GUCAAGUGGGGGCAACCCUGAACGAGCAAUGCCGCGUGAGCGAAGAAGGUCUUCGGAUUGUAAAGCUCUGUUGACCGGGGAAAAGGAAGGAAAGAGGAAAUGCUUUUCUUUGGAUGGUACCCGGCCAGAAAGUCACGGCUAACUACGUGCC
rnacentral:rRNA from 1 species